UACGUAGGGUGCGAGCGUUAAUCGGAAUUACUGGGCGUAAAGCGUGCGCAGGCGGUUCGUUAAGUCAGAUGUGAAAGCCCCGGGCUCAACCUGGGAACUGCAUUUGUGACUGCACGGCUGGAGUGCGGCAGAGGGGGAUGGAAUUCCGCGUGUAGCAGUGAAAUGCGUAGAUAUGCGGAGGAACACCGAUGGCGAAGGCAAUCCCCUGGGCCUGCACUGACGCUCAUGCACGAAAGCGUGGGGAGCAAACAGG
rnacentral:rRNA from 1 species